rnacentral:rRNA from 3 species
GGGAAUCUACCCUGAACUGCGGAAUAGCUCCGGGAAACUGGAAUUAAUACCGCAUGUGCCCUGAGGGGCAAAGAUUUAUCGGUUCAGGAUGAGCCCGCGUCCGAUUAGCUAGUUGGUGGGGUAAAGGCCUACCAAGGCGACGAUCGGUAGCUGGUCUAAGAGGAUGAUCAGCCACAUUGGGACUGAGACACGGCCCAAACUCCUACGGGAGGCAGCAGUGGGGAAUAUUGGACAAUGGGCGCAAGCCUGAUCCAGCCAUGCCGCGUGAGUGAUGAAGGCCCUAGGGUUGUAAAGCUCUUUCAGUGGGGACGAUAAUGACGGUACCCACAGAAGAAGCCCCGGCUAACUUCGUGCCAGCAGCCGCGGUAAUACGAAGGGGGCUAGCGUUGUUCGGAAUUACUGGGCGUAAAGCGCACGUAGGCGGACAUUUAAGUCAGGGGUGAAAUCCCGGGGCUCAACCCCGGAACUGCCUUUGAUACUGGGUGUCUUGAGUCCGGAAGAGGUGAGUGGAAUUGCGAGU